CCCAGACUCCUACGGGAGGCAGCAGUGGGGGAUAUUGCACAAUGGGGGAAACCCUGAUGCAGCGACGCCGCGUGGGUGAAGAAGCGCCUCGGCGCGUAAAGCCCUGUCAGCAGGGAAGAAAAUGACGGUACCUGAAGAAGAAGCCCCGGCUAACUACGUGCCAGCAGCCGCGGUAAUACGUAGGUGGCAAGCGUUGUCCGGAUUUACUGGGUGUAAAGGGCGUGUAGCCGGGCUGACAAGUCAGAUGUGAAAUCCCGUGGCUCAACCGCGGAACUGCAUUUGAAACUGUCAGUCUUGAGUACCGGAGAGGUCAUCGGAAUUCCUUGUGUAGCGGUGAAAUGCGUAGAUAUAAGGAAGAACACCAGUGGCGAAGGCGGAUGACUGGACGGCAACUGACGGUGAGGCGCGAAAGCGUGGGGAGCAAACAGGAUUAGAUACCCUCGUAGC
rnacentral:rRNA from 1 species